UCUUUGAUUCUUCGGAUGAAGAGGUUUGUGACUGAGUGGCGGACGGGUGAGUAACGCGUGGGUAACCUGCCUCAAAGAGGGGGACAACAGUUGGAAACGACUGCUAAUACCGCAUAAGCCCACGGGUCGGCAUCGACCAGAGGGAAAAGGAGUGAUCCGCUUUGAGAUGGCCUCGCGUCCGAUUAGCUAGUUGGUGAGGUAACGGCCCACCAAGGCGACGAUCAGUAGCCGGACUGAGAGGUUGAACGGCCACAUUGGGACUGAGAUACGGCCCAGACUCC
rnacentral:rRNA from 1 species